UGCGGAAAGUGUGGGUGUAAACACAAUAUUUAAACAAGUGCUGCUUUUCGAAAAAAGUGACAAAUGAGACGUCCUGAUCAUUGAACGCCACAAACCGAAACCUUCAAGUCAACAAGGCGGCACGUGUUGAACAACACCAUGAAGUCGGGACUCUUCGCUUUGAGCCUUUUGCUGCUCUUUGCAAUCGGCACCAGCGAUAUUUUCAGUGGUCGCCCCCCAAGCGCUGCUCAGUUGAAGCUGGCCGACUAUGAUGGUGGACCUCUCGGCAGAUUCUUCCAUAAAGACCCUAUCGACAGAUUCUCUCAAGAAAGGCCUAUCGGAAGGUCGGGUCUUUAUUGAGAGAAUCAAAGAUCAGUUAUACUCCAGUGUGCCAAAGCGGCAUGGGCGCAUCGGGUCGAAAUGCUACCAGGACUCCUCGAGCAUGCAUUAAUUUUAGUGGGCUUGCAAAGCAUUAAAAAUCAAUUAAAAAAAGAA